GGGGGCGUCACGGCUUCGACGGAGAUGCUUGCGGCCCGAAGGCAUGCCGGAGUGCACACAUCCGUAAUCGCGUGCAAAAUGAUAAUUGCCAAUCAACAGAUGGCAUACGCUGCUUAAUUAGUUAAGUAGCCGUCCU
rnacentral:tmRNA from 1 species